GAACGCGAAGAACCUUACCUACCCUUGACAUGCCAGGAAGCCCGCAGAGAUGUGGGUGUGCCCGAAAGGGAACCUGGACACAGGUGCUGCAUGGCUGUCGUCAGCUCGUGUCGUGAGAUGUUGGGUUAAGUCCCGCAACGAGCGCAACCCUUGCCAUUAGUUGCUACAUUCAGUUGGGCACUCUAAUGGGACCGCCGGAGACAAACCGGAGGAAGGUGGGGAUGACGUCAAGUCCUCAUGGCCCUUAUGGGUAGGCUUCACACGUAAUACAAUGGUCGGUACAGAGGGCUGCCAACCCGCAAGGGGGAGCUAAUCCCAGAAAGCCGAUCGUAGUCCGGAUUGUAGUCUGCAACUCGACUGCAUGAAGCCGGAAUCGCUAGUAAUCGCGGAUCAGCAUGUCGCGGUGAAUACGUUCCCGGGUCUUGUACACACC
rnacentral:rRNA from 1 species